UACGGGGGGGGCAAGCGUUGUUCGGAAUUACUGGGCGUAAAGGGCUCGUAGGCGGCCAACUAAGUCAGACGUGAAAAUCCCUCGGCUUAACCGGGGAACUGCGUCUGAUACUGGAUGGCUUGAGGUUGGGAGAGGGAUGCGGAAUUCCAGGUGUAGCGGUGAAAUGCGUAGAUAUCUGGAGGAACACCGGUGGCGAAGGCGGCAUCCUGGACCAAUUCUGACGCUGAGGAGCGAAAGCCAGGGGAGCAAACGGG
rnacentral:rRNA from 1 species